rnacentral:pre_miRNA from 1 species
GAUUUGUUUUGAGUAUUUGGGUGGGGUGGAAUAUAACUAUAUAAGUCAUAAGUGCUUCUGAGAGCUUCUCUACAGAAAAUAUACAACUUUUUUUGGUAGAGAAGUUUUGAAAAGCUCUUAAAAGCAUUCUACCUUUGUAUCCAAACAGCGC